rnacentral:rRNA from 1 species
AGAGUUUGAUCCUGGCUCAGAGCGAACGCUGGCGGCAGGCCUAACACAUGCAAGUCGAACGAACUCUUCGGAGUUAGUGGCGGACGGGUGAGUAACACGUGGGAACGUGCCUUUAGGUUCGGAAUAACUCAGGGAAACUUGUGCUAAUACCGAAUGUGCCCUUCGGGGGAAAGAUUUAUCGCCUUUAGAGCGGCCCGCGUCUGAUUAGCUAGUUGGUGAGGUAAAGGCUCACCAAGGCGACGAUCAGUAGCUGGUCUGAGAGGAUGAUCAGCCACAUUGGGACUGAGACACGGCCCAAACUCCUACGGGAGGCAGCAGUGGGGAAUCUUGCGCAAUGGGCGAAAGCCUGACGCAGCCAUGCCGCGUGAAUGAUGAAGGUCUUAGGAUUGUAAAAUUCUUUCAGUAGGGACGAUAAUGACGGUACCUACAGAAGAAGCCCCGGCUAACUUCGUGCCAGCAGCCGCGGUAAUACGAAGGGGGCUAGCGUUGCUCGGAAUUACUGGGCGUAAAGGGAGCGUAGGCGGACAUUUAAGUCAGGGGUGAAAUCCCGGGGCUCAACCUCGGAAUUGCCUUUGAUACUGGGUGUCUUGAGUAUGAGAGAGGUAUGUGGAACUCCGAGUGUAGAGGUGAAAUUCGUAGAUAUUCGGAAGAACACCAGUGGCGAAGGCGACAUACUGGCUCAUUACUGACGCUGAGGCUCGAAAGCGUGGGGAGCAAACAGGAUUAGAUACCCUGGUAGUCCACGCCGUAAACGAUGAUUGCUAGUUGUCGGGAUGCAUGCAUUUCGGUGACGCAGCUAACGCAUUAAGCAAUCCGCCUGGGGAGUACGGUCGCAAGAUUAAAACUCAAAGGAAUUGACGG